rnacentral:lncRNA from 1 species
GAUUCAGUGACAAUGUCAUAGAGGCCUGGGUGAGAAGGCUUCCUUCUAUUUUAGGUUGGGAAUAUACUGAGUGCUGAAUAUGAUUCUAGUUAAGCGAUUCUGGAGGAAAAGUUGGCUCAGACAUUUUCACUUAAUGAGAUUUUUCAGUAGUAAAUUUUGCCUUAAAUUGAUUUUUUAGAACCUAGCCUUUCCAUAAGAUGUGAUUUUCAUGUAAAUGCAACUAGAAUCUUUAAAGUCAGUAAACCCUCCUUAACUGGUAUACUUUGAGUAUGUAGUUUCAGCGAUCUUAGUU